rnacentral:rRNA from 1 species
UACGUGAGGGUGCAAGCGUUAAUCGGAAUUACUGGGCAUAAAGCGUGCGCAGGCGGUUUUGUAAGUCUGUCGUGAAAUCCCCGGGCUCAACCUGGGAAUUGCGAUGGAGACUGCAAGGCUAGAAUCUGGCAGAGGGGGGUAGAAUUCCACGUGUAGCAGUGAAAUGCGUAGAGAUGUGGAGGAACACCGAUGGCGAAGGCAGCCCCCUGGGUCAAGAUUGACGCUCAUGCACGAAAGCGUGGGGAGCAAACAGG